rnacentral:lncRNA from 1 species
UUUUUCAAACUUUUAUUUGUACUCAUUUUUUUAAAUCUUUUAUUUGUACCAAUAAUUUAUUAAUAAUGUACCCAUUUGUCUUUAAAAAUGUACCACUUUGUUUUAUGUAAAAUGUACCAAUUUUUGUUUUUGUAAAUACCUUUUUUUUAUGUACCAUGUACCUAUUUUUUAAUGUAACGCCUAUUUAUUUUAAUCUAAAAUGUACCCAUUAUUUUUUUAUAUAAAAUGUACCCAUUGUUUUUUUUUUAUAUAAAAUGUACCAAUUUUUUCAUAUAAAACAUACCACAUUUUUGUAUGAAAUGUACCAACUUUUUGUAUGAAAAAUGUACCGUCCAAAAAUUACCAUGUUUCUAUAUGUAAAGUGUUAUUAAUAUAAGUAAUGACAAAACAUGGGUUUUAUUUAAAUGUAAUUUAUCGUAAUGACAAAUCAUGUUAUUAGGAAAAAUUAUAUAUUUUUUUAAAUAAGUAUAAUUUAUUUUUUAAUAUUUUCAAUCCCACAAAUUAUGAAUUUUUAUUUAAAAUCUCAUUAAUAUAAAUAACUACAAAUAUCAAAUUUUAAUUCAAAUUAUAAUAACCUACUGUUGACCCUAGAAAUUACAAAGCCUACGUGGCGCGCAGGCCGAGUAUAUUCUAAGCUAACUA